rnacentral:rRNA from 1 species
AUUGAACGCUGGCGGCAGGCCUAACGCAUGCAAGUCGAGCGGAUGAAGGGAGCUUGCUCCUGGAUUCAGCGGCGGACGGGUGAGUAAUGCCUAGGAAUCUGCCUGGUAGUUGGGGAUAACGUCCGGAAACGGGCGCUAAUACCGCAUACGUCCUGAGGGAGAAAGUGGGGGAUCUUCGGACCUCACGCUAUCAGAUGAGCCUAGGUCGGAUUAGCUAGUUGGUGGGGUAAAGGCCUACCAAGGCGACGAUCCGUAACUGGUCUGAGAGGAUGAUCAGUCACACUGGAACUGAGACACGGUCCAGACUCCUACGGGAGGCAGCAGUGGGGAAUAUUGGACAAUGGGCGAAAGCCUGAUCCAGCCAUGCCGCGUGUGUGAAGAAGGUCUUCGGAUUGUAAAGCACUUUAAGUUGGGAGGAAGGGCAGUAAGUUAAUACCUUGCUGUUUUGACGUUACCAAAAGAAUAAGCACCGGCUAACUUCGUG